rnacentral:rRNA from 1 species
GACAGGGGUGGCAAGCGUUGUUCGGAGUAACUGGGCGUAAAGGGUCUGUAGGUGGUUUUUCAAGUCUUUGGUAAAACGCCGUGGCUCAACCAUGGUUUGGCCAAGGAGACUGGGAGACUCGAGGCUGGGAGAGGGAAGCGGAAUUUCUGGUGUAGCGGUGAAAUGCGUAGAGAUCAGAAAGAAGGCCGGUGGCGAAGGCGGCUUCCUGGAACAGACCUGACACUGAGAGACGAAAGCGUGGGGAGCAAACAGGAUUAGAUACCCUGGUAGUCCACGCCCUAAACGAUGGGAACUAAGUGUGGGGAGCAAUCCCCGUGCCGCAGCUAACGCAAUAAGUUCCCCGCCUGGGGAGACGGCCGCAAGGUUGAAACUCAAAGGAAUUGACGGGGGCCCGCACAAGCGGUGGUGCAUGUGGUUUAAUUCGACGCAACGCGAGGAACCUUACCUGGGUUUGACGUGGCGCUGGUAGUGAACCGAAAGGGGAACGACCCCGCAAGGGGAGGCGUCACAGGUGCUGCAUGGCUGUCGUCAGCUCGUGCCGUGGGGUGUUGGGUUAAGUCCCGCAACGAGCGCAACCCCCGCCCUUUGUUGCUACCGGGUAAAGCCGGGCACUCGAAGGGGACUGCCAGCGAAGAGUUGGAGGAAGGUGGGGAUGACGUCAAGUCAUCAUGGCCUUUAUAUCCAGGGCGACACACGUGCAACAAUGGCCGGUACAGACGGAGGCAAGCCCGUAAGGGGGAGCAAAUCCGAGAAAGCCGGUCUCAGUUCGGAUUGAGGUCUGCAACUCGACCUCAUGAAGUCGGAAUCGCUAGUAAUCGCGUAUCAGAACGACGCGGUGAAUACGUUCCCGGGCCUUGUACACACCGCCCGUCACACCACGAAAGUCUGUUGUACCCGAAGUCGGUGUCCGAACCCCGCAAGGGGACGAAGCCGCCCAAGGUAUGGCCGAUGAUUGGGGUG